rnacentral:rRNA from 1 species
AGUGAUUUGCCAGCAGCCGCGGUAAUACGGAGGAUCCAAGCGUUAUCCGGAAUCAUUGGGUUUAAAGGGUCCGUAGGCGGUUUAAUAAGUCAGUGGUGAAAGCCCAUCGCUCAACGGUGGAACGGCCAUUGAUACUGUUAAACUUGAAUUAUUAGGAAGUAACUAGAAUAUGUAGUGUAGCUGGUGAAAUGCUUAGAGAUUACAUGGAAUACCAAUUGCGAAGGCAGGUUACUACUAAUGGAUUGACCGCUGAUGGACGAAAGCGUGGGUAGCGAACAGGAUUAGAUACCCUGGUAGUCC